rnacentral:rRNA from 1 species
AUUUAUUGGGUUUAAAGGGUGCGUAGGCGGCAAGGUAAGUCAGCGGUGAAAGACCAGGGCUCAACUCUGGAAGUGCCGUUGAUACUGUCUGGCUAGAAUGAUUCCGCCGUGGGAGGAAUGAGUAGUGUAGCGGUGAAAUGCAUAGAUAUUACUCAGAACACCGAUUGCGAAGGCAUCUCACGAGGGGUUUAUUGACGCUGAGGCACGAAAGCGUGGGGAUCGAACAGGAUUAGAUACCCUGGUAGUCCACGCAGUAAACGAUGAUGGCUAACUGUCGGGCCUACGGGUUCGGCGGCCAAGCGAAAGCGAUAAGCCAUCCACCUGGGGAGUACGACCGCAAGGUUGAAACUCAAAGGAAUUGACGGGGGCCCGCACAAGCGGAGGAACAUGUGGUUUAAUUCGAUGAUACGCGAGGAACCUUACCCAGGCUCGAACGGCAUCUGAAUUGUCCAGAGAUGGACAAGUCUUCGGACAGAUGUCGAGGUGCUGCAUGGUUGUCGUCAGCUCGUGCCGUGAGGUGUCGGCUUAAGUGCCAUAACGAGCGCAACCCUUGCCGUCAGUUGCCAUCAGGUUAUGCUGGGGACUCUGGCGGGACUGCCACCGCAAGGUGUGAGGAAGGGGGGGAUGACGUCAAAUCAGCACGGCCCUUACGUCUGGGGCGACACACGUGUUACAAUGGCGGCUACAGAGGGAAGCCACCCCGCGAGGGGGCGCGGAUCUGAAAAGGCCGUCUCAGUUCGGACUGGAGUCUGCAACCCGACU